CUUAACACACACUGUAACUAGGCUAUGCUGUGAGGAGGCAAACAGUGCAUUGAGAAAAAUAUGAAGCACUCUACACUGGAUAUAUUUUUCAAGAGGAAGGACAUGUAAAUUACAUUGUAAUUACUGUAUUCAGCAUAUAGUUGAGCCCAAACAGAAGAAGGUGGAAGAGGUACAAGAACUACUUAAAAUUGCUGAGUGGAAACUGAACGAAAAACAAAAAAGCUUAACAAAGGUGCGCUGGAAAGAAUCACUAAAUGAUUUAGAGAAGAAGCUGCAGGGAAUCGUUGGUGAUGUCUUGGUUUCAGCUGCAUGUAUUACCUACUCUGGAGUAGGGUACCGUGGCAAAAUGGUGCAGGAAUGGCUGAGAUUCUGGAAUGUAAAGAGCAUACCCAUUUCUUCUGAAUACACACUUAUAACAACGAUGACUGAAAAGACCCAGUGGCAAAAUGAAGGGCUACCCCCAGAUCAGAACUCCACUGAGAAUGCUAUUCUCGUUAAGAAUGGGGGCCAUUGGCCACUUUUUAUUGAUCCACAAGGACAAACUUAUAAGUGGAUCUGCCAGAUGGAAGGGGACAAGCUAUAAACAAGGUGUUUGCUUCUGAUCCAAACUAUAUGAAAACAGUUGAGACUGCCAUACAAUGAGGAGAAGCAGUUCUUAUACAGCACUGAAUCCAGGUUGAGCUGCAUUUCCCAGCUGCUUUGCAGUUUUCUUAUCGAAAUGUAUCUGCCGAAGCUGUGUGACUAGCUUCAAGAUGAAAUCUCUCCUGCUGAUAUUUUCCCUGGUGCAUUCCUUGUACAAAACAAAGGUACUGAUGGCUGCCAGGUCCAAUGCAUUGUAAAAUACAGCAACUGCCCAGCAGCGAAAACUGGCUUUCACCGAGUACUGACGUGCCACCUGGUCUGUACUAUGUACUUUUUGUCAUUGUAGAAAUCCACAGUAUCCAGUUUUAUCUUGUCAACAGUCCCGAUGGCAACUGACGUAUGAAGGGAGCUGAGAAUAAUUACAUUCUUUCUCGGCUUGCACUUGUAAACAGUCAGCAUAGCACAGUAAUUGUGUUUAAAAAAUGUACUGGAGUGCAGCUGUGGUUGCAAGUUUUGCACAGAUGGUGGAAGCUGUCCUUGCUUUGUUCACUAUUCCAACCAGGCUGUUUUUUUUUCGUCAAUUGCAGUGAAGUAAAAAAAUUGUCAGUGGUAACAUUCCUCCCUUUUUCAAAGUACGGUUCCAUCAGCCUAAGUACCACAUUGUCACCCAGUCUCUGACCAGAUGGGCUAUAUUUAACCAUUUUUAAUCUCAGUUAAGGGUAACCAUUCACCACGUAUUUGGGCUCAACGUCCGCUGCCAGCUAAAAGUUUAUCCCAGAUUUGUCAGGUUUGUUUGACAUGUAUUGCUCUUAUUGUAUUGCUUUUAUUGUAACACUUGAAAUGUAUUUGCUUACGAUUGUAAGUGGCCCUGGAUAAGGGCGUCUGCUAAGAAAUAAAUAAUAAUAAUAAUAAUAA